UGGGGAAUAUUGGACAAUGGGCGCAAGCCUGAUCCAGCAAUGCCGCGUGAGUGAUGAAGGCCUUAGGGUUGUAAAGCUCUUUCGGCGGGGACGAUGAUGACGGUACCCGCAGAAGAAGCCCCGGCUAACUUCGUGCCAGCAGCCGCGGUAAUACGAAGGGGGCUAGCGUUGUUCGGAAUUACUGGGCGUAAAGGGCGCGUAGGCGGCGCAACAAGUUAGGCGUGAAAGCCCCGGGCUCAACCUGGGAAUUGCGCUUGAUACUGUUGUGCUUGAGUUCGGGAGAGGUGAGUGGAAUUCCCAGUGUAGAGGUGAAAUUCGUAGAUAUUGGGAAGAACACCGGUGGCGAAGGCGGCUCACUGGACCGAUACUGACGCUGAGGCGCGAAAGCGUGGGGAGCAAACAGGAUUAGAUACCCCCGUAGUCC
rnacentral:rRNA from 1 species